AAAAAAAAAAAAAAAAAAAAAAAAAAAAAAAGAAAGAAAGAAAGAAAAAGAAAAAAAGAAAGAAAGAAAAAACGCGACCAGACGACACGAGUUCAGCAAGAUGGCAUCCUCUCCCAAGAAUGAAAGAAGCCCGGAUACCUCUUCAUAAUGCCCAGGAUUCCUAGGAUGAGGACUUUUGAAGCUCAGUGUGAGAUGCCCUGGCCGUCGCCAUUUUGGCAUUGCCUCAUUCUGCCUAACCACUGGCUGAUUCGAAAAUGGAUAAAGAAGUAGAGCCUGAGUGGAGCUGAAGUGAUUCGCCCUCGCGGUGGAGAGGUGAAGGUGAUAAGAGGAUCAGGACUGUAAACACAUUGUAAGCUGGACGGCACUGGGUUGUACAUUAAAAAGAAGAAGAAAAAAAAAAGAUGCUACAUGUGCUUCCCAGAUGUGGCUACCAUUGUUGUAGUUGCACAACUGUGGUCAGUGAAAUCCGUUUAAAAGCACAUCCUCUAACCGGAGAAAGUAUAAAUGAAGGAACGAAUUCCCCUCUGAGCUGUGAAACUCUGUGAUGACUUUAACCUCAAACGAUGAAUAAAAGCUGUAGACCUUCCGCAUUGUGGUCGCACGGUCCAAACCACAGACCGACGUGACAGUUCAAUCCAAAGUGCCGAGCCUUAGGUAAUGUGGUGGGAUGUGGGAUACUCCAGGUACAGCUACUCAGUGAGGACCUUUCAGAAACAUCGGGCUUGUUAAGAAACUCAUGCUGUUUUAAAUUUAAUAAAUCAUUCUGAUCUAUUGUUACAAAUUAAAAAUCUCAAAAAAUCACAA